rnacentral:rRNA from 1 species
AUUGAACGCUGGCGGCAGGCCUAACACAUGCAAGUCGAACGAGUGGCGGACGGGUGAGUAAUGUCUGGGGAACUGCCUGAUGGAGGGGGAUAACUACUGGAAACGGUAGCUAAUACCGCAUACCAUCGGAUGUGCCCAGAUGGGAUUGGCUAGUAGGUGGGGUAAAGGCUCACCUAGGCGACGAUCCCUAGCUGGUCUGAGAGGAUGACCAGCCACACUGGAACUGAGAAAAGGUCCAGACUCCUAUGGGAGUCAGUAGUGGGGAAUAGUGCACAAUGGGCGAAAGUCUGAUGCAGCGAUGCCGCGUGUAGGAAGAAGUCCUUCGGUUUGUAAAGUACUUUCAGCGGGGAGGCGUUACCCUCAGAAGAAGCACCGGCUAAUUCCGUGCCAGCAGCCGCGGUAAUAC